rnacentral:lncRNA from 1 species
CGGUAUCUAGCAGCUCACUUUGUCUUGGGAGUGAAGUAUCCAUAAAAAAAUGGAUCCUGAGCAUUUCAGUUCAUCUAUUUUUGUUCACUGACUUGACAACGUGAUGAAAAAUGAAACAAGGCCUACUGCAGACAUAAUCACCACCUGAUACAGCCAUACCAAUUACAGAAGCUGGGUUUUUGCUGAAACACAAGGAUGCCUUUCACCCAGCAGCAUUGCAAGAUCAAAUCCCUGAAUGCCAGAGAACGAUCGUGGGGGACCACAGCAAGCUCUGAGCAUCCCCUCGGCAGCCCUUUCUCCCCUGGGGAGCAUCUCUCUGCUCGGAGGGGCUACAAAACCCUACAGGUUCAAGCUUCCCCAAAGGACUAUGGGACUAUAUGAAAAUAUAUAGAAGGAAGAAA